UGUAAACAUCCUACACUCAGCUGUAAUACAUGGAUUGGCUGAGAGGUGGAUGUUUACU
rnacentral:pre_miRNA from 17 species